CUGCGGUGAAUACGUUCCCGGGCCUUGUACACACCGCCCGUCAAGCCAUGGAAGCUGGGGGUACCUGAAGUACGUAACCACAAGGAGCGUCCUAGGGUAAAACCGGUAACUGGGGCU
rnacentral:rRNA from 1 species